UCGCUGAAAACUUCUUGAAAAUUUACAUUCCACUCAUUAUAAUCGAUGUCUCCUCUAGUUUAGUCGAUAUAAUUGGAAGACAUAGGGCUUAUUCGAGGCACUCCAUAACUGCGACAAUAUUGCAGCCCUGAUAAUCAAUUUGCAACACUGUUGCAGAUGCUCAGCUAAUACUUAAGCAAAAUAAUUACAACAUUUUGAGCGAAUUUUUUGACCGAAUUUGAACGUUUAACCAUGAAUUUUUUAAUAAAUAUAGCGAUAGAUAAUUUUGAAAGCAGUGAUAAUAAUUUGCUGUUUAAGUAUGGAAAAAAUAGAAAACGAAAUUUUUUAAGAAAUAGAAAGUGGUUCCUCGCUGAAAUUUCAAAAAAGCGGGCAGUGACGAAGAUGACAAAGGUUUGGAAAACAAUUCCAUUAUACCAUGAUGAUACAUAUUUCACGCAUUUUCGCAUGACUCGUGAAACGUUUGCAGACUUGAAAAAUGCGUUAGAGCCUUUUUGGUCAACACCGCACGGUGAAUAUUCCUUGGAACAUUCCUUGCAUAUGACUCUUUGGAAGCUAAGCAACAGUAGCAGUAAACUUUUCCUCAAAACAAUCAAGACAAUCUGCAAACUUAAACACGAAAUAUGUUGGCCGUCAGUUUCACAGCAGAAAAAAAUAAUGGAAAACUUUCAAACAAGCCGGGUAAAUUCAUUUCCUUUUGUUGUCGGAUGCUUAGAUGGAACGCAUUUCAAAAUUAAUACUCCUCAGACAGACGCAAUUAGUUAUUAUGACCGUAAAGGAAAUUUUCCAGUUAUUAUGCAGAUGUGUUCAUCGGCUACCCAGGUAGCUGCCAUGAUGCAAAUGUGUGGAAAAAUAGUCCACUUUACAAAGGGAUCACAUCUGGACAAAUAAAUCUUGCGAAAGAUGCAAUUAUUCUAGCCGAUUCAGCAUAUCCUGUUUCAAGAUAUUUAAUUGCUCCUUUUAGAGAUAACGGACACCUUUCCAGAGAGGAAAAACAAUUCUACUAUUAUAUGAGUUCAACCCGAGUAUUUAUCGAGCAAACAUUUGGAAUUUUCAGGGCUAAGUUCAAAAUAUUGAAUCAUAUUGAUGUGCGAAAUAUAGAAGACAUAUCAACUGUGACAUUAGCUUGCGCAAUUUUACAUAAUUUUAUACUGCGAAGCAAUCCGGCUCAUUCUGAAGACAAUCACACGAGUAGGGAUGGCAAAAAUUUUUUUUAAUCGAUUAAAUAAUCAAAUGAUUAAUUGCAAGAUAUAAAAAAAUAAUUGCAAUUAAUUGCAAUUAAUGUAAAAAAAUCGAUUAAUCGAUUAAUUCCAAUGUUUGCAUAAAGACCACAACCAAGUUUCAGCGACGAAUCUUGUAUUAUAAUGCUCUAUCACAGAGUCCCAGACAUAUCCUAAAAGAGAAAAUGGCCUAUAUUUGAAGUUAAGUAGCACAUUAAAUUUUUCAAAAUUCGUACAGCAAUCUUAAAGUAAAAGAAUUGCCUUUUGCUUGAAAGACUAUGUUUUGUAUUUUUGCGUAAAAA